rnacentral:rRNA from 1 species
AACCUUUGCAUGGGAACAGCGUCUUUCUGAAAGGGAAGAGUCAUUUAGUUGGGUUCCACA